rnacentral:rRNA from 1 species
CGGUUAAAAGCCGUAAACGGCCGCCCUAGCGGUGAGGGUGCUAAGGUAGCGAAAUUCCUUGCCUUUUAAUUGUAGGCCUGCAUGAAUGGCUUGACGAGGGCUUGACUGUCUCUAGUUUUGGAAUCUAAAUUGGAUUAAAGGUGAAGAUACCUUUAUAUAAAAGUUAGACAAGAAGACCCCGUGCAACUUUUAAAGUCAGCUUAUUAAGAAGUUCAAGAUUUUUAGGUGGGGCGCCUACUGAGUAAUAAUAACCUCUGUGUAAUAGUGAAACUUUCAAGUGUAGACCCGGCAAUGCCGAUCAUAGGAGAAGUUACGCCGGGGAUAACAGGCUAAUUCACUAGUAGAGAACGUAUUGGCUAGUGAGAUUGGCACCUCGAUGUUGAAUCAGGGAUGAUACCUUUAAGGCGUAGAAGCUUUAA